rnacentral:rRNA from 1 species
GGUUUAUUGAUUUUAAAUAAUAAAUUUAUUCUGCCCAUUGAAUUUUUUAAAAUUUUAAAGGCUGCAGUAUAUUAACUGUACAAAGGUAGCAAAAUCAAUAGUUUUUUAAUUGAAAACUUGUAUGAAAGAAUUAAUAAAAUAUAAAUUGUCUCAAAUUUAUUAUAUUAAAUUUAAAUUAAAAGUUAAAAUGCUUUUAUAGAUUUAUUAGACGAUAAGACCCUAAGAAUUUUAUAUUUAUUUUAAAUUAAAAAUUUAUUAAUAAUAAUUAAAAUUUUAAAUAAAAUAUUUUAUUGGGAGGGUAAUUAAAAAUUUUAAACUUUAAUUUUUUAAAAACUUUGAUAUUUGAAUAUUGAUGAUUAUUUUUAUAGUUGUAAGAAAAAAUUACCUUAGGGAUAACAGCGUAAUGAUUUUGGAGAGUUCAUAUUGAUAGAAUUGUUUGCGACCUCGAUGUUGAAUUAAAAUAAAAAUUAAAUGAAGAUAUUUAAUAUUUUAGUCUGUUCGACUAUUAAAAUUUUACA